AGAAGAAAUAACCAAACAUGCCUUGGUUAUCUGUGGUUGUGGUGAAGGCCUCUGUCAGAUGUCCCUUCAUCAGUCAGUCAGUCUCUCCGCUGUUGUGCUGUAGGCUUCUAGAGAUGCAUUAAAUAAAUCAAAUGAAAGAGAUUAUAUAUUGACCUUUUCUCCAAUCUCCAAGUGCACCAUAGAAUUUGUCUGUAUGUAUAUAUACUAAGAGUUGUGAAGUCAAACAAUAGCUUUGUGUGAGAAACAACCCAAAAUGAUA